rnacentral:rRNA from 1 species
AAGCUCGUAGUUGAAUUUCGGGUUCGGUCGUGUGGUCUUUUCUUUUGAAUUGUACUGCUUCGACCGAACCUUUCCUUCUGGCAAACUAUCGUGCUAUUUAUUUAGUGCGAUAGGGAACCAGGACUUUUACUUUGGAAAAAUUAGAGAGUUUAAAGCAGGCUUACGCUUGAAUACAUUAGCAUGGAAUAAUAAAAUAGGACUUUGGUUUUAUUUUGUUGGUUUUCAAGACCGAAGUAAUGAUUAAUAGGGAUAGUUGGG